UACAGAGGGUGCAAGCGUUGUUCGGAAUUAUUGGGCGUAAAGCGCGUGUAGGCGGCUUUGCAAGUCGGGUGUGAAAGCCCUCAGCUCAACUGAGGAAGUGCGCCCGAAACUGCAGAGCUUGAGUGCCGGAGAGGGUGGCGGAAUUCCCCAAGUAGAGGUGAAAUGCGUAGAUAUCGAGAGGAACACCGGUGGCGAAGGCGGCCUUCUGGACAGUAACUGACGCUGAGACGCGAAAGCGUGGGGAGCAAACAGG
rnacentral:rRNA from 1 species